rnacentral:rRNA from 1 species
AUGCAGCGACGCCGCGUGGGGGAUGAAGGCCUUCGGGUUGUAAACCCCUUUCAGCAGGGAAGAAGCGAAAGUGACGGUACCUGCAGAAGAAGCGCCGGCUAACUACGUGCCAGCAGCCGCGGUAAUA